GGGCCCGCACAAGCGGUGGAGCAUGUGGUUUAAUUCGAUGAUACGCGAGGAACCUUACCAGGGUUUAAAUGCAGAACGACAGGGGUGGAAACACCCCCUUCUUCGGACGGACUGCAAGGUGCUGCAUGGUUGUCGUCAGCUCGUGCCGUGAGGUGUCAGGUUAAGUCCUAUAACGAGCGCAACCCCUAUCGUUAGUUGCCAGCGGGUCAUGCCGGGAACUCUAGCGAAACUGCCGGUGCAAACCGAGAGGAAGGUGGGGAUGACGUCAAAUCAUCACGGCCCUUACGUCCUGGCCACACACGUGCUACAAUGGCCGGUACAGAGAGCAGCCACUACGCGAGUAGGAG
rnacentral:rRNA from 1 species